rnacentral:lncRNA from 1 species
GAUGAUGUUUUUUUAUGUUGGAAUCCAGGUUCUAUAUUUUGGCAAGGAUGGGCCAGAGGUGAUGUGCUUAAUUAAGUACAUUGUAGCAGGAGGAACAGUUACCAACCUCUGCCAGGACUGGUGAUUCUACAUCGAGCUCUUGCUGGAGAAGGAGCCUGCAAGCCCUGCUCUCUCUCUUGGUGGGAGAGAGAUAUUUUGGGCCACUUGUUCCAGUUCUCAAGUGCAUGUCACCAUUUAGAAGAUAAGUCUCCAUCAGGUGAGAAUUGCUGAGGCCAUGCCCAGCCUGGGGACUUUUAAUCAGCUGAAUUGGCCAGAGGUAAGAAAUACACAAAUAUUGAUUUUAAAAGAGAGACCUCUCUUCAUGCCUAUGAAGAAUCGGAAGUUGGGGAUCCUGAGUCUCUGAGCAUUUGCUCUAUCUACUUGCCUGCCAGGGAGCUCCCAGGACCAUGAGUGCUGGAAAGAGCCCCAGAGUCCUGUACUCACAGCAGUAGCAGAGGGGUGUGACCUGUGAGAGCAGAAACUUGUUCUCAGUGAGGAACUCAAAUCUUUUGUAAUGAGCACCAGGCUGCCUGUUGUGCUCUGUGAGAGACCUUACUGGAAAGAAAGUAUUGGUUCAGAGGAGGAUGCAUCUCCUCUUAACAAAGUGAGGCAAACAUGUUCUUUUCUUUAAAGGAAUCACAUUCUAUCUGCCAAGG